CCAGUGAGAGAAUUAAGGACGGCACGUUGUUCUUGUAAUGGGGAUCCAGCAGGCUGGCCACCCAGUAAUCAGCACAAGUUAGAAUGUGGGCAACUCGGCAGUCGUUGCACAGGCUCUUUGGUGACGCUAGAUAACCUCAGGCCGAUCGAACGUCCCUGUGACGGCGACUACGCAUUCGGAUGUCUGCCCUAUCAACUUUCAAUGGUACUUUCUGCGCCUACCAUGGUGACCACUGGUAACGGGGAAUCAGGGUUUUAAUUCUG
rnacentral:rRNA from 1 species